rnacentral:rRNA from 1 species
AUGUAUCCAGUGGCAUGGGCAGUUGUUGAGAGGGAAACUAAUGAUACAUGGAAGUGGUUCAUUGCCCUGCUUAUUAAAGAUCUUGAGAUUAAUGACAAUGGAGCUGGCUGGGUGUUCAUUUCAGAUCAGCAGAAGGGACUGAUAAAUGCAAUGAAGGAUUAUUUGCCAAAUGCAGAGCACAGAAUGUGUGCUAGGCAUAUCUAUGCCAACUAG